rnacentral:rRNA from 1 species
CCUACGGGAGGCAGCAGUGGGGGAUAUUGCACAAUGGGGGAAACCCUGAUGCAGCGACGCCGCGUGUGGGAAGACGGUCCUCUGCAUUGUAAACCACUGUCCCCAGGGACGAAGAUGACGGUACCUGGGGAGGAAGCUGCGGCUAACUACGUGCCAGCAGCCGCGGUAAUACGGAGGGAGCGAGCGUUUUCCGGAAUUACUGGGUGUAAAGGGAGCGUAGGCGGGGAUGUAAGUUGGGUGUAAAAACUACCGGCUCAACUGGUAGUCGCACUCAAAACUGCAGCUCUUGAGUGAAGUAGAGGCAGGCGGAAUGCCUAGUGUAGCGGUGAAAUGCGUAGAUAUUAGGAGGAACACCAGUGGCGAAGGCGGCAUGCUGGGCUUUUACUGACGCUGAGGCUCGAAAGUGUGGGGAGCAAACAGGAUUAGAUACCCCGGUAGUC